GAAAUGCGAUAAGUAAUGUGAAUUGCAGAAUUCAGUGAAUCAUCGAAUCUUUGAACGCACCUUGCGCUCCUUGGUAUUCCGAGGAGCAUGCCUGUUUGAGUGUCAUUUAAUUCUCAACCCCACCAGCUUUUGUGGCUGGCUUGGUGGCUUGGAUGUGGGGGGAUUCAUCUUGCGGGCCUCUUCAGAGGUCAGCUCCCCUGAAAUGCAUUAGCGGAACUGUUUGCGGUACUGUCACUGGUGUGAUAAUUAUCUAUGCCAAAGACUACUGCUCUCUAUUUGUUCUGCUACUAAUUGUCCUUCAUGGACAACAAGUAUUUGAAUGCUUGACCUCAAAUCAGGUAGGACUACCCGCUGAACUUAA
rnacentral:misc_RNA from 1 species